rnacentral:rRNA from 1 species
UACGAAGGGUGCAAGCGUUACUCGGAAUUACUGGGCGUAAAGCGUGCGUAGGUGGUUGUUUAAGUCUGUUGUGAAAGCCCUGGGCUCAACCUGGGAAUUGCAGUGGAUACUGGGCGACUAGAGUGUGGUAGAGGGUAGUGGAAUUCCCGGUGUAGCAGUGAAAUGCGUAGAGAUCGGGAGGAACAUCCAUGGCGAAGGCAGCUACCUGGACCAACACUGACACUGAGGCGCGAAAGCGUGGGGAGCAAACAGG